GACGGAAGGUGCAAGCGUUGCUCGGAAUCACUGGGCGUAAAGGGUGCGUAGGCGGCCGUGCAAGUCUGGCGUGAAAGCCCCGGGCUCAGCCCGGGAAGUGCGCCCGAAACUGCGCGGCUCGAGUGCCGGAGGGGAGAGUGGAAUUCCUGGUGUAGCGGUGAAAUGCGUAGAUAUCAGGAGGAAUACCGGUGGCGAAAGCGACUCUCUGGACGGCAACUGACGCUGAGGCACGAAAGCGUGGGGAGCAAACAGG
rnacentral:rRNA from 1 species